UUGCUGGUUUCUCUUUAGAUUGUAUAAAAUUUUUUGCCUUUUACUGAAGAUUCCUGUGGGGAGGAACAAUCAGCUUUUAAAGCAACUUUUUGAAUCCUGGCUUUAGACAAGACA
ensembl:snRNA U5 U5 spliceosomal RNA